rnacentral:rRNA from 1 species
UACGGAGGGUGCAAGCGUUAUCCGGAUUUACUGGGUUUAAAGGGUGCGUAGGUGGGUUGGUAAGUCAGUGGUGAAAUACUUCGCUUAACGAAGGAACUGCCAUUGAUACUACCAGUCUUGAAUACAGUGGAGGUAGGCGGAAUGCGUCAUGUAGCGGUGAAAUGCUUAGAUAUGACGCAGAACACCAAUUGCGAAGGCAGCUUGCUACACUGUUAUUGACACUGAGGCACGAAAAGCGUGGGGAUCAAACAGGGAUUAGAAAACCCCGGGGUA